UCAGGAAGUCAAUCACAAAGUGCAUGCUUUUUCAGUAUGUACAUUUAGCUUGGCUUUGCCAAUAAAACAGCCUGUCUUCUUCCCCUGGCAAAGAGCCUGUCCUACUUAAUACAUGACUGAUAAGCACUCUUUGUAUCUUCCAGAGAGCCUUGUCCCUGUGUCUUUGGUUUACCUGCAAAUGGUCCAAGGAGGAAAAAAGGAUGUAAAGAACUCCUGUAUGGUAGAUUGAUGUUUCAGCUACCCACAAAUGAUGAAGAUUCCAUUUAUAUUACAAAGGCUAUGAGAAGUAUGAGGUUGGUUUUUUAUUUUUAUUUUUGGUGGUUUUUAGAAAAACGUUAGUCACAGAGAAAGCAACAGCUGAUGUAUCUGCAGCUAAGCACUUCUGUUCCUGUCAGUAGAAGGAUGGGAGACUGUCAAGGAUCCCAUAUAUGAAGCUGAGAGUUUCAUCUCCUUGCUGAAUGGAAAAGAAACUAGUUGAUUAGACAGAAUCCAGCUGUUCUUGAAUCAACUGAAGAUCCUUCAAGCUUGCAUUCCAAUGAAUGUUCUGCCCUCGAAACUAUGAGUAUUAGAACAACAUAGAACUUCUUCUGAACAUGGAGAUUGGCAAAAAGUUGAUAAGGACAAUAUGUACCUUUCAUGGUAUGUGUUUGCAGCACUGAAUAUUAUUUAAUCUGUUUGAAAUAAAAGUGAAUGUGACAGUUUGUGUUUAAACCAAUAAAAUGAAAAGUCAUUAUCCAUCA